rnacentral:rRNA from 1 species
AACGAACGCUGGCGGCAUGCCUAACACAUGCAAGUCGAACGAGACCUUCGGGUCUAGUGGCGCACGGGUGCGUAACGCGUGGGAACCUGCGCUUAGGUUCGGAAUAACUCCCCGAAAGGGGUGCUAAUACCGGAUAAUGUUUUCGGACCAAAGAUUUAUCGCCUUUGGAUGGGCCCGCGUUGGUUUAGCUAGUUGGUGGGGUAAAAGCCUACCAAGGCGACGAUCGGUAGCCGGCCUGAGAGGGUGAUCGGCCACACUGGGACUGAGGUACGGCCCAGACUCGUACGGGAGGCAGCAGCGGGGAAUAGUGCAAAAUGGGUGGAAGCCGGAUGCAGCAACGCCGUGUGCGGGAUGAAGGCCUGCGGGUUGUAAACCGAUUACGCUCAUGACGGAGCUUUGUGUGACGGUAGUGGGUAAAGAAGCACCGGCUAACGACGUG